rnacentral:rRNA from 1 species
GACGAACGCUGGCGGCGUGCUUAACACAUGCAAGUCGAACGGAAAGGCCUUUUCGGAGGUACUCGAGUGGCGAACGGGUGAGUAACACGUGUGUGAUCUGCCCUGCACUCUGGGAUAAGCCUGGGAAACUGGGUCUAAUACCGGAUAGGACCGCACUUUAGUGUGGGGGGUGGAAGGUUUUUUCGGUGUAGGAUUAGCCCGCGGCCUAUCAGCUUGUUGGUGGGGUAAUGGCCUACCAAGGCGGCGACGGGUAGCCGGACAGAGAGGUUGGUCGGCCACAUUGGGACUGAGAUACGCCCCAGACUCCUACGGGGGGCAGCGGUGGAGAAUAGUGCACAAUGGGCGCAAGCCUGAUGCCACGAAGCCGCGUGGGGGACGACGGCCUUCGGGUUGUGAACUCCUUUUGCCAGGGACGAAGCGUUUUGUGACGGUACCUGGCGAAGAAGCACCGGCUAACUACGUG